rnacentral:rRNA from 1 species
GGAUUAGUGGCGAACGGGUGAGGAACACGUGAGAAACCUGCCUCGGAUUUUGGGAUAACAAAUGGAAACGUUUGCUAAUACCGAAUGACGUCGGAGAACCGCAUGGUUCACUGACGAAAGGAAAUCCGGUUUGGGAGGGUCUCGCGGCCUAUCAGCUAGUUGGCGGGGUAAUGGCCCACCAAGGCAACGACGGGUAGCUGGUCUGAGAGGAUGGUCAGCCACACUGGGACUGAGACACGGCCCAGACUCC